rnacentral:rRNA from 1 species
CAGUAGCCGCGGUAAUACGAAGGGGGCUAGCGUUGCUCGGAAUGACUGGGCGUAAAGGGCGCGUAGGCGGAUUGCGCAGUCAGAUGUGAAAUUCCUGGGCUUAACCUGGGGGCUGCAUUUGAGACGCGUAGUCUAGAGUGUGAAAGAGGGUCGUGGAAUUCCCAGUGUAGAGGUGAAAUUCGUAGAUAUUGGGAAGAACACCGGUGGCGAAGGCGGCGACCUGGUUCAUAACUGACGCUGAGGCGCGAAAGCGUGGGGAGCAAACAGGAUUAGAUACCCCCGUAGUCCCUGUCUCUUAUAC